rnacentral:lncRNA from 1 species
GAUUACAGGCGUGAGCCACCGCGCCCUGCCAGGAAAAGCAAUUUUUAAAUGACGGCAUAUUUCUCCUCCGAAAUCACAGAGACCAGAAGGAAGUGACACAGUAUUUUCCAAGUGCUGAAAGAAAAGCAGUGUCAAUCGAGAAUUCUAUUAUCCAGUGAAAACAGCCUUCAAAAAUGGAAGGGAUAUCAGGGCAAUCUCAGAUGAAGAACUACUAAGAAUUUGUCACCAGCAGACCUACCAUUAAAAAAAUGGCUAAAGGAAAUUCUUGAAAUAGAAAGGAAAUGAUAAGUCUUAGAACAUCAGGGAGGAACAC